rnacentral:rRNA from 1 species
UGGGGAAUAUUGGACAAUGGACCAAGAGUCUGAUCCAGCAAUUCUGUGUGCACGAUGAAGUUUUUCGGAAUGUAAAGUGCUUUCAGUUGGGAAGAAAAAAAUGACGGUACCAACAGAAGAAGUGACGGCUAAAUACGUGCCAGCAGCCGCGGUAAUACGUAUGUCACGAGCGUUAUCCGGAUUUAUUGGGCGUAAAGCGCGUCUAGGUGGUUAUGUAAGUCUGAUGUGAAAAUGCAGGGCUCAACUCUGUAUUGCGUUGGAAACUGUAUAACUAGAGUACUGGAGAGGUAAGCGGAACUACAAGUGUAGAGGUGAAAUUCGUAGAUAUUUGUAGGAAUGCCGAUGGGGAAGCCAGCUUACUGGACAGAUACUGACGCUGAAGCGCGAAAGCGUGGGUAGCAAACAGGAUUAGAUACCCUGGUAGUCCACGCCGUAAACGAUGAUUACUAGGUGUUGGGGGUCGAACCUCAGCGCCCAAGCAAACGCGAUAAGUAAUCCGCCUGGGGAGUACGUACGCAAGUAUG